rnacentral:miRNA from 1 species
CCAGUUCAUCGUCUGACGUUUA